GGGGAAAACAGCCCCAUUAACGAAAGAAGAAGCUAAAAAUAAACUAGCAAGCUAGAAAGGAAAACACAUCAGCUACCCAGGGAAAAUGUUAUCCAGAUUUCAAUCUGCAAAGCAUCUUGCUUUGGAAUAUGGACCAUGCUCAUUUGCUUUCUAAAUCUCACGCACAAGCGUAUUCUCCUUUCCGGUCCUAGAUUUUUGUUUCUGCAAGCGGCAAGUGACUUAAGGGCGUGUUUGAUUUUUAGGUUGGUUUUCCAUUUGAGUCUUCUUUCUUUUACCACAUUGAAAAGCUACUUCCCUCUUUUCACUCUUAAGUUCAAAAACAGAAUGAAGAUUUCAAACAAAUCCCCCAGAUCUGCAAGCAACAGACGCUAAAAUCGUUCAGAUCUUUCCCUCUUGUGUGCGUUUUUCCGGCGACGAUUCUGGUACCCAAGUCCUGACCAUCGAACUCACACCUGCAAGCACUAUAGAUUCACCCAGAGACCACAACCAGCAGAUCUGCGCCGCAGAUCGAAAAAGAAGAAAUGGAGGAUAAAGGGGUUCAGCAGAUCGGGAAUGGGAAGGAACCCUAAGCUUUGGAGUUGAAGAUGAAGAAAGUGAUGAAUCGGUUUGGGGAUAAUGAAUUGUGGAAUAAUGAAUUUGGGAGUGGUGAAUUGGGUGAUAAUCAAUUUUUCCCAUAACUAUAUAAUCCUUCACUAACUAUUUUCCUAAUUAUAUUAUAAUUUAUUAAAUAUUUUAUUUUUUAAAAAUAAGAAUUACUUGCUAAACUUUCUAUUGCAGGUCAAAAGGUACAUGUAUAACCUUACACAAGUAUUUAGAUGUGCAUGCUAACACGAUGUUAUAUUCCUCAUGUAACAAAAAAAAAAAAACCAACACGAUGUUGAUCCAAUGGUAGAAAAUUAAAUCAUGUAAAAGUGAGGUCACAAUAUAAACCCUGAAAAAAUCAAGGGAAAAAAAACUUCAUCUAUGUAUUGUUGAUUUUAGACUGGGCCAAAUUUAGUCAAAUAUUAGAUUGGAUUUGAAUUUAAAUAGCGCCCAAAACAUAGCAUCGGUGCAACCAAACGAAACCCUUGCCUUGCCACCACUAGCCACCGCCACUGCCACAUUUCCCUCCUCCAACGCCGUCUGCAGAAGCAAACCGAUCGAAUCUCAGAGCGAAAAUGUCAGGAAAUUCACCAAACACGACGAAGAGGAAACUUCCCUCUAAUCAUCACGAUGAAAAGAAUAAGAAAACACACGUUCAGGUGAAGGCAGAAAAAAUGGACAACAGUGACAUGAAUUCGAAUUGCUUAUGCGGUAUUUGCUUUGAUCACAAAAAGGAAACUGAAAUGUUCAGAGGAAGCAAGUGCAACCACCCCUUUUGCGCUGAUUGCAUAUCCAAGCAUGUCGCUGCUCAGAUUCAACAAAAUGCUCUCAAGGUGAAUUGUCCAAAGCCUAAUUGCGGUGUCGAAUUGGAGCCGGAGUAUUUGAACCCGAUUUUGCCUGAAGAAGUCAUUGUUCGAUUGGAAUCCGCGAGGUGCGAGUCUUUGAUCGCGGGGUUGCGGAAGACUUAUUGCCCAUUUAAGGAUUGUUCUGUUUUGUUGGUGGAUGAUGGGGGUGAAGUUGUGACUGCUGCUGAGUGCCCCUCUUGCCAUAGGUUGUUUUGUGCUCAGUGUUUGGUUCCGUGGCACGCGGGGUUGAAUUGUAAGGAGUACUUGGCGCCUGCUGAUAGGAAAGUUGAGAAGGAUUUAGAUAGGAAGUUUCUUGAUUUGGCUAAAAAUAGCAUGUGGCAGAGAUGCCCCAAAUGCAACUUCUAUGUCCAAAGAAGUAGUGGAUGUGAACACAUGGCUUGCAGGUGUGGAUGCAACUUCUGCUACCACUGUGGGAAGGAUUGGGUGCAUGGACAUAUAUGUGAUCAACCUUAGUCCAUAUCAGAUUUCACAGAUGGCUGAACAGUUGGAAGUUCGCUUGGCAAUCUAAGAAGUUCAAGCUAUUAUUCAUCACAAUGAAAGGAAAUUUGAUACAUGAUACACGAGCAGGUCCUGAAUUAUGCCUUGUUUUUCUUCUGCUCAAGCACUGCUGUGUGUGUUACAACCUUACCCAUCUUCAUAUGGAUUGGGGUCUGGGGAACAGUUCUAUGGAGUUGCUCUGGUAUGUGGAUUUUUGGUCCCUGCACCAACUAUGAUCAUAGCCUUCCUCGCUGAGUUGCUGGCUAUAGGGCCACCUUUUGUGCCUCAGAUUGCUUACAAGUAGUGGAAGUCCUUUACGACAACGUGGAUGUCUCUACAUUUUGGGAUAAGGAUACUAUCUUGCCCGUUAGGAUGUUACUCACUUGACUUGAGAUUGACAUGCUUCGGUGAUUCAUAUCCCUCGUGAGAGGAAUAAUGCGAUGGAAUUCCUCGCUCAUCUAGCAUCUAGGGAAGGUACCCCUCAUCGUGUUGGGGGAUUCCACACCAUCAUUCAUUGUAGCUUCGUUGUUC